rnacentral:rRNA from 1 species
GACGAAGGUGGCGAGCGUUGUUCGGAAUCACUGGGCAUAAAGCGCACGUAGGCGGCGACGUAAGUUGGGUGUGAAAUCCCUCGGCCCAACCGAGGAACUGCGCCCAGUACUGCGUUGCUUGAGGAUCCAAGGGGUGCAUGGAAUUCCCGGUGGAGCGGUGAAAUGCGUUGAUAUCGGGAGGAACUCCGGCGGCGAAAGCGGUGCACUGGUGGAUUUCUGACGCUGAGGUGCGAAAGCCAGGGGAGCAAACGGGG